CUCACAGGGGAGAUGCUCCAGGCCCCAUUAUCGUCUUUGUUGCCCUCCGCUGGACUCUUUCCAGGAGACCCCUGUCUUUUUUGUACUGGGGAGCCCAGAACUGCUGAACACAGUGCUCCAAGUCUAACUUUUCUCAAUUGUUUCAGGAUCUAUCUAUGCUAUAUAAACCAUGGAGCUUUCUAGGCAAACACUGGCAAAUCGUGAGCCAGGUGCAACUCAAUGCCGACGUUUCCGUCAGUGUGUUAGGUGUGAUAAAUUAGUAGGGGUUUGUUCAUUGUCCUUGAGAAUUUAAAGAAUCUACUGAGGAGAUAAGGUUUCACAACUCAUGGCAUUGUAACAUGGGGACAAAUGGGGAAGGGGGGUUGGGUAAACAUCCUUGUUAAAACAAGGAUUUUGUAAGAUACCACCCACCCACCUCAAGACAUCCUAUUUUGCCCCCACCUGAACACAAGCACAACGCAUGAUCACCGGAGGAAGAAUAACGACCCCCAACAACAGACUGCGCAGCCUCAGAACAAGUCUCGACAAGUCGACAAGUCGACAGGUCAAGUCUCGACAAGCCAGAACUUGAAUGCUCUAAAACAGCGACACUGGAAAGGGGAAGUUGCGUGCUGUGGUGGAGCGGAGACUCCCCAGCCACCCAGCGCUGUUUUGCUUGUGUCUGCUUACUUGAUUAAUAAAAUAAUUUCAAUAGACCAGAAAAUUGUGUGGUCUAACUUAUAACAAUUUGGUGCCGUGACUCGGAUAAAGGCAUCAGACUGAGGCGCAUCUCAGGGGAGGCGCCCUGCCGAGUUCGGCGGCCUCUGAGAAUGCAGGCCUCACUUGGGACCUUUUACCGACGAACCCUAAAUUGGAUACAAGCAAAUAAAACCGGUAAACCUCAGGCAACCUUUGUGCACGAAGACCGAACGAAGACUCAGAGGAGGAAAACAGUCGUCCGGACUGCGGAGAAAGGAUGGACACAUGCCAUCCGUGUUAAAGGACCCAUCUGUGACAAGAAGUGGGAGAUCGCUCCAGGAAACAAAGACCUGAAGCUCACAUUGCGACGAACUCGAUAGGUACCGUGGGUUAAGGUAGAGGCUCUCCCCUGAAGAACACUACUGCUGCCAAGAAGAACUAAAACCUCGUAGUUGGCUGCAACCCAACUGACGAGUGAGGCAGAGGAGUGAAUAAGUGGGGAAAGAAAUGGGCCUCAGCCAUUCCUAUCGGUAUUUGGGGGUUCUCGCAGUGAUUUCAUCCUGCAUAGUGACUCAACACCACCCCCACCAACCUUUUAAAUGGACUUUAAGUCGAUUCGAAGAUCAACAGGUUAUUGCAACCCAGAUAACAUCGGGGGGGGCCAAGCUUUACUUCUACACUAUGUCAGCUGAUCUCGAGGCCCUGAUGCUGGGAAUAUAUGGGAUUUUAUUUCUGCCCAAGUUCUAACCUGGGAAAGGGGUACUGUAAAUGCCUGAAUGUGUAUUAUUGUGCAUACCGGGGGUGUGAAACCAUUGCUACAGACUGGACACUCGGGGCUGGUCAGGAUAAAUUCUUACAAGUGGGAUAUGGGCUGCAAGGUUGUAACCGACAAUUGGAUCCUUGUUACAGGUGGCGAGGGCAUGGUAUAGGGUAUACAGGAACCUUCCACGGAAAUAAAGAAAUUUGCAAGGUUCUGUAUAUAAAUAUAACAAACUCAGACGAUACUAGCUGGGUACUAGGGAAAAAUGUCAGAUUUUACUAACAUGGAACAGAUAGGGGAGGACUCAUACCAAUAAAGAAGGAAAAACCCGAGACUUCCAAGGUAGUCGGGCCUAAUAAAGAGUUAUUAGGGGAAGGUUUGGUUGUCCAGACUGUAAAGAUACCUGGGACUGCCCAACCUACUACAGUGUUUUCUAAUAAGUCAACAGAGUUAUCCUUACCCACACUGCUUCCAAGCAUUGUGAAAAAAAAAAAAAAAAAAAAGAAAGGGGUUGUACCCGAGAGUAGUAUGUGGAAAGUUAUAAAUGCUAGUUUCCAGGUACUAAAUCGAACUAAUCCUGAGAUAACUGAAGGGUGCUGGCUAUGUGUAAGUGUUAAGCCCCCAUAUUAUGAAGCUAUAGGAGAUAUGGGGAGGUCUGAAUAUUCAAACGAGUCAAAUCCUUCCAAGUGCAGUUGGGGUCAGGAAAUUGGGAUAACUUUGACUCAAGUUAUGGGAAAAGGUAGAUGUAUCGGCACAGUUCCAAGAGAUAAAAAUGAUCUGUGCCAUGCCACUGAAAAAAAAAAAAAAAAAAAAAAAA